AGUUAAACAGUACGUGAAAUUGUUGAAAGGGAAACGAUUGAAGCCAGUCGUACCUUCGGGUAAUCAGCCUUUCGGGUGCGAUUAUGUGGAGUGUGAGGAGCUUAAACACCUUCAUGUUUUGCAUAUUCGUACUCUUGGGUGUACUUGCCCGUGUGGUUGGUUAACAUCAAUUUUGGUGGUCAUAAAAUGACUGGAGGAAUGUAGCUUCGAUCUCGUAUUGAAGUGUUAUAGCCUUCGGUAGAUGUGAUGAUCGAGAUUGAGGAUUGCAACGGAUACCCUUCGGGGCUACCUGUCUGGUCUCUGAUCGUUGCUCUGGUGCCGAAAGCUUGCUUACGGUUAUCAAAGUCGAUGGUCAAUAGGUUAGAACGGGUUAAAUUCGUUAAGGAUGUUGACGUAAUGGCUUUAAA
rnacentral:misc_RNA from 1 species